AACGAACGCUGGCGGCAGGCUUAACACAUGCAAGUCGAACGCACCUUUCGGGGUGAGUGGCAGACGGGUGAGUAACGCGUGGGAAUCUACCCUUCUCUACGGGAUAGCUCCGGGAAACUGGAAUUAAUACCGUAUACGUCCUGAGGGAGAAAGAUUUAUCGGGGAAGGAUGAGCCCGCGUUGGAUUAGCUAGUUGGUGGGGUAAAGGCCUACCAAGGCGACGAUCCAGAGCUGGUCUAAGAGGAUGAUCAGCCACAUUGGGACUGAGACACGGCCCAAACUCCUACGGGAGGCAGCAGUGGGGAAUAUUGGACAAUGGGCGCAAGCCUGAUCCAGCCAUGCCGCGUGAGUGAUGAAGGCCCUAGGGUUGUAAAGCUCUUUCAGUGGGGACGAUAAUGACGGUACCCACAGAAGAAGCCCCGGCUAACUUCGU
rnacentral:rRNA from 1 species